rnacentral:rRNA from 1 species
AACAAUGAAGCGAGUGGCGAACUGGUGAGUAACACGUGGGRAAUCUGCCCAGAAGCAGGGGAUAACACUUGGAAACAGGUGCUAAUACCGUAUAACAACAAAAUCCGCAUGGAUUUUGUUUGAAAGGUGGCUUCGGCUAUCACUUCUGGAUGAUCCCGCGGCGUAUUAGUUAGUUGGUGAGGUAAAGGCCCACCAAGACGAUGAUACGUANCCGACCUGAGANGGUAAUCGGCCACAUUGGGACUGANACACGGCCCAAACUCCUACGGGAGGCAGCAGUANGGAAUCUUCCACAAUGGACGAAAGUCUGAUGGA